AAUCUCAUGGCGUAGUGGUAACGCGCCCUAACUAGAGUCGUGGGUUCGAUUCUCACUGAGAAGA
rnacentral:tRNA from 1 species